rnacentral:lncRNA from 10 species
GAUGGGUUUAUUGGAAUAUUAGAUGCGUUUCUGAGUUACACUGGGUUUAUGAGUAUGCGACCCUAUACUCCAGAAACAGCUGUAUAAGGAAAAACAGGUGUACCUAAUAAAAAUAUGCUUAGUGACUUGCGAUAAACCAAUAGAUGUUCACAACUGAUGGAGAGCCGUGAAAGAGAGAUAACGCAUCUAAUAUUCCAAUAAACCCAUCAUAACGUUCAAAAAUCAUGAAUCAAACCAUCAUAAGUCACGGUUUGUCCGUGGAUAUGGGUGUCAUCAAUUUCAUUGUAUUCAGUAAUGCUGUACACCAUUAACAAUGGCAGACUGAUUGGGAGUGGAUGUUGAUAGCAUUAUAAAAGUCAUUUAUUAGAGGGAUACUUCUUUAACCUGACUGAAGAACUGAUCUAAUAGCUUUAGUACAGUGCAUGAUUAUGUGAGAUGUUUUGAGACAGAGUAGUACAUUUGUGAAUGAAAUUUUAUGGCUUUUUUUCACUUAGUAGGAACCAUUGUGUGUGGAAAAGUGAGAAAAUUGCUUUCUGCUGUAG